UUUAGGGUUGAUGUUUGGCUAGUUUCCCUGUGAUUGUAGGGUUGAUGUUUGGCUAGUUUCCCUGUGAUUUUAGGGUUGAUGUUUGGCUAGUUUCCCUGUGAUUGUAGGGUUCAUGUUUGGCUAGUUUCCCUGUGAUUGUAGGGUUCAUGUUUGGCUAGUUUCUCUGUGAUUGUAGGGCUCAUGUUGGCUAGUUUCCCUGUGAUUUUAGGGUUGAUGUUUGGCUAGUUUCCCUGUGAUUGUAGGGCUCAUGUUUGGCUAGUUUCCCUGUGAUUUUAGGUUGAUGUU